GCUCAAUGGUAGAGCGAUCGUAUCUUAACGAUAAGUGCAGGUUCAAUUCCUGC
rnacentral:tRNA from 1 species